rnacentral:rRNA from 1 species
UACGUAGGGUGCGAGCGUUAAUCGGAAUUACUGGGCGUAAAGCGUGCGCAGGCGGUUUCUGAAGUCCGUUGUGAAAGCCCCGGGCUCAACCUGGGAAUUGCGAUGAAGACUGCAAGGCUUGAAUCUGGCAGAGGGGGGUAGAAUUCCACGUGUAGCAGUGAAAUGCGUAGAGAUGUGGAGGAACACCGAUGGCGAAGGCAGCCCCCUGGGUCAAGAUUGACGCUCAUGCACGAAAGCGUGGGGAGCAAACAGG